UACGUAGGGGGCGAGCGUUGUCCGGAGUUACUGGGCGUAAAGGGCACGCAGGCGGUGCGGCGCGUUUCGCGUGACAGCGGAGGGCUUAACUCUCCGAGGAUGCGAAAGACGGCGGCACUUGAGGGCCAGAGAGGGACACGGAAUUCCGGGUGGAGUGGUGAAAUGCGUAGAGAUCCGGAGGAACACCGAAGGCGAAGGCAUUGUCCUGGCUGGUGACUGACGCUGAGGUGCGAAAGCUAGGGGAGCGAACGGG
rnacentral:rRNA from 1 species